UACGUAGGGUGCAAGCGUUGUCCGGAAUUAUUGGGCGUAAAGAGCUCGUAGGCGGUUUGUCGCGUCUGCUGUGAAAACUCGGGGCUUAACCCCGGGCCUGCAGUGGGUACGGGCAGACUAGAGUGCGGUAGGGGAGACUGGAAUUCCUGGUGUAGCGGUGAAAUGCGUAGAUAUCAGGAGGAACACCGGUGGCGAAGGCGCACAUCUGGCCCGAUACUGACGCUGAGGCGCGAAAGCUAGGGGGAGCAAACGGG
rnacentral:rRNA from 1 species